UAAUGGCUGUCUGUCUGGUCUUCUCACUUGGCUUUAUCACAGAUUGAGGGCAGGAGGAAGGGCUGAGGUGCACAGCACUUGACUGAUUUCCUUUGCCCCGUGACCGUUCAUCUAUGUACUGCAGCUUUGUUGAACUCAGGCAAACUUCUACUCUCUUUGCCCUGUACCUGAAUAUUUGGGCUCAUGAAAAAUUCUGAAAGACUAUCGUCUCCUGUGCACAGUACAUUUAAGUUUCUCUCUGAUUUGUCCCUUGCUUAUUAGCAGUUUUCUUUCCAUCUUUUACACCAUCUUAAAUGUGUUGUAUCAUCAUCAGUCCUCCCUCUUUUUAGCCUUGUUUUUCUUCUUAGCUUUAAAAUCCUCCAGUAUAUUUUGAAUGGGAGCGACUUGGAAGGGACUGAGGCAUAAAGAGGAGAAAGGGAGUCUUCUGGGAUAGGGACAGCUGCCCCAUUUUAUAACUGAGCCCGGUUUCUGAGUCUGAAUCAGAGAUAAAUAAACGGAGAUCCAAACCUCUUCCGGGUGGUGUGUUUGCUAUGAGAGAUCAUUUGCAGGAUGUCUCAUCUCAGCUCUCUUGGAUUGUUGAGAUGUUUUUUUUUACAGAUUCUGGUAAUGGCUUCAUUCUCGCUCUCAGUUUCCAGGCUUCCUUUGAGUUCUGAUGUUUUUCCAAGUCUUUACACCAGACCAACCUCUUUAAGAGUGGUGAAUGGAACUGAUUCUGACUUUAAAGAUUUUAAGACCCUGGGAUUUUCUGAAGUCAAAGAACGACUGAUUUGGAGGUGAAUAUUCAUUCCUAUUCUCUCUUACUUCUUUAAGACUGAGACUAUGGUGAGAAUUUUUUAGUUUUCCAAGUAAGAGAUCCAAAUACACUGUGAACUGGUAUUUCCAACAGGUGCUGGUGAAGAGUAGGGUAGGUUAAGGAACUCUUGGAAGUUGAAUAUUUGAAUUGGAGUACUGGUGAUACCAUCAUUUUUUAAAAUUGCUUUAACUCAUUCUAAGUUGAAACUAAAUUUGUAAAAUACUUUAUUAUUUUUAAAAAAUUUAGUCAGUGUCAUAAUACUGUGUGUAUGUGUUUAAUAAAUUCUUCUAGAUCUCCACAGAAAAAGAGACAAAACCAAAUAAAGACUUAGGUUGCUUAAAAUCAGUUCUCAUCAUUUUUGUGGCUGCUCACAUCACACAUACUAUGGGCCCAGACUAAAGAGAAAAAGAAGAGUAAUGGAAAGAUUAUUAAUGUACUUAAUGUGUACAAUCACAAAGGGAUGUACUUUCUGAUUGGAGAAAGAAAUGGCUUCCCACUCCCGAGUUCUUGACUGGAGAACACCAUGGACAGAGGAGCCUGGUGGGCUGCAGUCCAUGGGUUGCAAAGAGUCGGACACAACUGACAGACCAAGCAACAACAAAUACUUUCUGAUAAUUCCUUAAGAAAGAGGGAAUCCUUUGCUCCAGUGUUCUAAUAAGCCUCUUUAUGAAUGGGAAGUUUGGUGCUCAUAAAAACCAAGUUUUCAGAUUUCCUGAGUUUUAUUUUGACAGUCUGGAGAUAUCAGAAUAUUUCCAAAAAUAUUCUUUACUAUGCGGCUGUGGAGUUAUAUUACAGAAGGUUGGCAUAGAUUGUGAAAAUAGAAUAUGAGGAUUUGUUUAUCGAAUGAAUAUUAAAAAACUACAUUUUGUUAUUGACAAGGAAACAUGAGGAAAUG
rnacentral:lncRNA from 1 species